ACUCUCUCUCGGAGCCCUGAGCCUCUGUGCAAGACAUCCCAGUGUGAAGAAGCCAUGCCACAUGGAACAGCUACUCCAGGUGCCUCAGGGGUCCUCGUGUUAGGGCCAUCCAAGCCCAGGCUCCAGGUGGAUGUAAGAAGGAGCCUUCAGGAGUGUCAAAGUGAGACCUGACAAUGGACCCCUGCCCUGCUCCACAGGCAGCCCGCCCACUCUAGGCACAAAAAAACAACCUUCGUAUCUCCCAACUCGGGCAACAACCCAUGCUUUCUACCAAGAUAAAUACUGAAUUCCAGUGCCCAGCACAGAGAGGAUGCCAUGGUAUUAAGGACUCGGGUCCUUUCCUGGCUUCUACUUUGAAAACAGCCCUCUCUGAGGCAUGGGAGACCCUUCCUGGGACAAAGAAAUUGACAAGCUACUCCAAAAUCAUCUUGGAAAAGAUAACAAGGUUGAAAGACUCACACAUCCUGAUUUCAAAAAUUAGUACAGAAUUACAUGAAUCCAUACUGUCUGAUAUUGAUAUAAAGAUAGACAUAGAUCAACAGAGUAAAACUGAGAGUCCAAAAAUGAGCUCAGACAUUUAUGAUCACCUGAUUUUCAACAAGAGCACCAAGAAAAUUCAAUGGGGAAGGAUCUCUUUAAAAUUUCUAUUCCUAGGAAUAUA